UACGAUCACAUCUCGUUGAAACGCCGGUCCUCGUCAGAUCACAGAAGUUAAGCAACGUCGAGCCUAAUCAGUAACUUGAUGGGUGACUGUUUGGGGUACCAGGGGCUGUAA